UUGCCUUUGCUGUGGUCUGUCUGUACGAUAUAAUUCAGUCACCACAGCCACAUCAAAUCUAAAGAUAAUAACUGAAGGGUCAAGAUCCCAACUAAAGCAAACAUUGACCACUAUAAUGGUGAUACACAGAUUGUGAUUUUCUCGUUUGGUGAUUCUGCUUGUUUACAUCAGGUGUCUUUAAUAAUGGUCAAUCAUAACUCAAUUAACUUCUUAAUUAUCUCAUUAACUUCAACUCUGCUUCAGUGUUACUUUUAACACUGCUUUAGUGUUUAUAUGAGUCCACACUCAAGAGUGUUAAAUUAACACUGGGGAUUUUGCUGUGUAUCAGGGAGUCUAGAGGAGCCAUAAAUGUGACAGUGAUAGAUGGAGCAGAGAAGAUGAGGAGCCAAGGCAGAACCAACUGGUUCACGAGCUGAGGUGGAGCAACAGUCUUGGAGGAUCGAUGCAGAGCACAUGGGACGACACUCCAGAGUGGAGCUAGGGACCAAAAGAAGGAAUAAGGCAGCUUAUCUUGCUGAUUGUGAACCUGAGGUGCUGAAAGGAGUCAGCAGAGGAGAAAGUGAGGAAACGGCUCGCUGGUUCCAGUGUACAAUACUAUGCAAGAGCAAAAAACUAGAGGGUCAAGUCUUCAUGGUUGGACCACGGGUCUACUUAGAUAAAAUACCUCGACUUGACACAACAUAUUCCUCUGUGAAUAUAGAUCUCAUUGGAAUUGCAAGAAAGAACAAUGAAGAUGGUUGUUCUGUUUUAAAGACCAACAGCAGCCACACUGUGUGUUCCUGUGAUCAUCUGUCAAUAUUCGCUCUCAUCAUGCAAACCAGCCAUCCACACUAUGACAUGUUUUUUCAGAGCAACUUACAGCAACUUCUGAUGAUUUUUGUGUAUGUGACCGUGGGGGUGGUCUUCAUUUUGGCCCUGCUGACCCUUAUCAUUUUCAUAGCAGUUUAUUCCCAUGUGUGAUUGGAUAUCUGGUUCCUCUGAUUUCUGAAAGCUAUGGCAGUGAGCAGUAUGUAGUUUUUUAGUUUAUUUGUUGUUAAUUUGUUUAGAUGGAGGAAUCAUGUUAUAGAACUGUAUAUUCAUUUAAAUAUUAAUAAGCUUGAUACAAAAUGAUAUAAAUGGCAACAUUAUUUUUUUUUAAGAAGGAAGGCCACAGGUUUGAUGGAUAUUGUGAUAUACAUUUAAAACUAAACCAUAAAAUAACUCUGUGAUCAGAUAAUAUCUUAUUCAAAGUAAAUCUACAUUGUCAUGUGGCUUGGAAUUUUUGUUUUAAAAAUUGUGAAUGACUAGAUUGUAUAUUACUUUUGUUCAAGUGGAAUCUAUUUUUCCUGUACUAUUUUAAUGCAUUUUUGUUACAAAAUAUCUUAAUAAAUUUAUCAAUAAUGUAGUAUUUGUAUUUUUUUGCAAAAUAAAAGGACUCCCUAAUAGACUUAUAUAUAUACUAAUAAUGACCAAUUACCAGCAGCUGCACAGCAAAAUCCCCAGUGUUAAUUUAACACUCUUGAGUGUGGACUCAUAUAAACACUAAAGCAGUGUUAAAAGUAACACUGAAGCAGAGUUGAAGUUAAUGAGAUAAUUAAGAAGUUAAUUGAGUUAUGAUUGACCAUUAUUGAAGACACCUGAUGUUAACAAGCAGAAUCACCAACUGAGAAAAUCACAAUUUGCCUGAGUUUAGGAUUCUUUACUGCAUACAUAAAUUAAGUUAAAAAGAGAAGUAAGCAACCCAGCAUUUCUGACAUAGUAUG
rnacentral:lncRNA from 1 species